rnacentral:piRNA from 1 species
UGGCGUGCUUGUUGACAAUGGCUACAUUGUU